rnacentral:tRNA from 1 species
GUCUAGCUUAGUUGGUAGAGCACAAGACUUUUAACCUUGUGGUCGUGGGUUCAAGCCCCAUAAUGGGCA